rnacentral:piRNA from 1 species
UAGCAGAAGUUAGGGACAGAUAGAUGG